rnacentral:rRNA from 1 species
UGGGGAAUCUUGCGCAAUGGGGGAAACCCUGACGCAGCGACGCCGCGUGCGGGAUGAAGGCCUUCGGGUUGUAAACCGCUUUCAGCAGGGACGAGGCCUUAUGGUGACGGUACCUGCAGAAGAAGCUCCGGCUAAAUACGUGCCAGCAGCCGCGGUAAUACGUAUGGAGCAAGCGUUAUCCGGAUUCAUUGGGCGUAAAGCGCUCGUAGGCGGUCUGUUAGGUCGGCAAGUUAAAUCCGGGGGCUCAACCCCCGUCCGCUUCCGAUACCGGCAGACUUGAGCUUGGUAGGGGAAGGUGGAAUUCCUAGUGUAGCGGUGGAAUGCGCAGAUAUUAGGAAGAACACCGGUGGCGAAGGCGGCCUUCUGGGCCAUAACGGACGCUGAGGAGCGAAAGCGAGGGGAGCGAACAGG